rnacentral:lncRNA from 1 species
GGCAAAUGGAGGGAACGACGAGGCAAAGGCAAGGAGGCGCCGACCACCACGCUGCCUACUAGUGGCCAUCGGGCUUGUGUGCGAUGAAACUGAUGCACUGCACUUGGCGGUUGUUGUCGAAGCCGAUGAUGCGGACGAAGGCCCUGGGGUACUCCUUCUUGCACUCCUCCAGCUCCUUCGCCACCUGCGUCGCGUCGGUGCACCCGAACAUGGGCAGCUUCCACAUGGUCCAGUAGCGCCCGUCGUAGUACCCCGGCGACCGGUGGUUCUCACGCCACACGAACCCCUCCUGUUAAAGGUCACCGUCGAGUUCAGUCCCCUCCCCCAUCACGCCCAACCGGUAUUCGUGAGAAUGCAUGCGGGCAUGCUUCCCUCAGACGAUCGUACGAGAAAGUCCAACAAUUCUGAGGGUUGGUUGGUGGACAUGGAAGCAUAGUCUAACUAAACUUUCCUUUGAAGUGGUACUUACGUGGCUGAACUCCAAGCAGGGAAUCCAUUUGGAGCGGAGAAGGUACUCGAUCUGCUUGAGCAAGACCUCGUCCACCAGCGUAGGAAGGUAGGAGAGGGUCUCGAACUUCUUCUUGCCCUCGAUCGGCCAC